UGAUUCAGGCUGAGGAUAUUUAAACCCAACAGUUCAAGUAUGAUAAGAUUUAGUCACAGAGUUGGACUGAAUCACAGUUUUUGAAGAUUAUGGUACUUCUUGAAGCCAUCAGGAGGAAGCUUUCGUAUUAAGUUCCGCUGAAGUGACCUGAAAUAAAUGUUGACCACUGUGGGAUAAACACUUGGAGAUGCCUGACUGGCAAAAAGGACUCGGUUACAACAGCAUCAUACAGUAG